GUAUGUGAGGGCGAUCUGGCUGUGACAUGUCACCCCAUUGAUCGCCAGGGUUGAUUCGGCUGAUCUGUCUGGCUAGGCGAGGGUCCCCUUCCUCCCUCACCGCUCCAUGUGCGUCCCUCCCAAAGCUGUGCGCUCGGUUGAAGAGGACGACCACCCCCGAUAGAGGAGGACUGUUUCCUCGGUCAAGGGUAUACGAGUAGCUGCGCUCCCCUGCUAGAACCUCCAAACAAGCUCUCAAGAGUAUGGCCUGGAUAUGCAUCCAUUUAGCUAUAAAUGUCUCUAGUUUCUCAUUUUUUAUGGCUGAGUAGUACU
rnacentral:snRNA from 1 species